GGGCGAUUAGCUCAGUUGGUAGAGUAUCUCGUUUACACCGAGAAUGUCGGCGGUUCGAGUCCGUCAUCGCCCA
rnacentral:tRNA from 2 species